rnacentral:rRNA from 1 species
AGUGAACGCUGGCGGUAGGCCUAACACAUGCAAGUCGAACGGCAGCACAGUAAGAGCUUGCUCUUACGGGUGGCGAGUGGCGGACGGGUGAGGAAUACAUCGGAAUCUACUUUUUCGUGGGGGAUAACGUAGGGAAACUUACGCUAAUACCGCAUACGACCUACGGGUGAAAGCAGGGGAUCUUCGGACCUUGCGCGAUUGGAUGAGCCGAUGUCGGAUUAGCUAGUUGGCGGGGUAAAGGCCCACCAAGGCGACGAUCCGUAGCUGGUCUGAGGGGAUGAUCAGCCACACUGGAACUGAGACACGGUCCAGACUCCUACGGGAGGCAGCAGUGGGGAAUAUUGGACAAUGGGCGCAAGCCUGAUCCAGCCAUACCGCGUGGGUGAAGAAGGCCUUCGGGUUGUAAAGCCCUUUUGUUGGGAAAGAAAAGCAGCAGGUUAAUACCCCGCUGUUCUGACGGUACCCAAAGAAUAAGCACCGGCUAACUUCGUG